rnacentral:rRNA from 1 species
GGCGGCGUGCUUAACACAUGCAAGUCGAACGCGAAAGGGACUUCGGUCCUGAGUAAGUGGCGCACGGGUGAGUAACGCGUAGAUAACCUGUCUUCAUGUCUGGAAUAAUACGCCGAAAGGGGUACUAAUACCGGAUAUUCUUGCUUUUCAUAAGUUAUGCAAGCAAAGGUGGCCUCUGCAUAUGCUACUGCAUGAAGAGGGGUCUGCGUACCAUUAGCUAGUAGGUGGGGUAAUGGCCUACCUAGGCGACGAUGGUUAGCGGGUCUGAGAGGAUGAUCCGCCACACUGGCACUGGAACACGGGCCAGACUCCUACGGGAGGCAGCAGUGAGGAAUAUUGCGCAAUGGGGGAAACCCUGACGCAGCGACGCCGCGUGAGUGAGGGAAAAGGCCUUCGGGUCGUAAAGCUCUGUCAAGAGGAAAGAAGUGUACAAUGGCUAAUACCUGUUGUAUUUGACGGUACCUCUAAAGGAAGCACCGGCUAACUCCGUGCCAGCAGCAGC